ensembl:lncRNA
UGGCAGAGCUUCAGAAGCCUGGGGCCUCAGGAGCUUGGGGCCUCAGGGGCCCUGGGCCUCAGGAGCCCGGGGCCUCCUGUCAGAUCUGUGUCUGUGGAGCUGUUGUAAACGAGGAUGUAACACAGUGUUCUUUAGCCAUCCCGUUGCUAAUCAGCUCUGUGUCUGAAGCUCGUGUGCUCAGGCCGUUCUCCAGUGUCUUGGAGCUCAACUCCCUGACGCCGCUCGGCCUCUGUGUUGUAUGCACCUGUCCACUUUAUGUCACGGCCCGCUGGGUCAUUCUGUGGCAGGUGUAGUGUGUUGUGUGGCAGGUGUAGUGUGUUGUGUACAGGUGUAGUGUGUUGUGUGGCAGGUGUAGUGUGUUGUGUACAGGUGUAGUCUGUUGUGUACAGGUGUAGUGUGUUGUGUCCAGGUGUAGUGUGUUUUGUACAGGUGUAGUGUGUUGUGUACAGGUGUAGUGUGUUGUGUGCAGGUGUAGUGUGUUGUGUACAGGUGUAGUGUGUUGUGUGCAGGUGUAGUGUGUUGUGUGCAGGUGUAGUGUGUUGUGUACAGGUGUAGUGUGUUGUGUACAGGUGUAGUGUGUUGUGUGCAGGUGUAGUGUGUUGUGUACAGGUGUAGUCUGUUGUGUGGCAGGUGUAGUCUGUUGUGUGGCAGGUGUAGUCUGUUGUGUGCAGGUGUAGUGUGUUGUGUGCAGGUGUAGUGUGUUGUGUACAGGUGUAGUGUGUUGUGUACAGGUGUAGUCUGUUGUGUGCAGGUGUAGUGUGUUGUGUGGCAGGUGUAGUUUGUUGUAUGGCAGGUGUGGUCUGUUGUGUACAAGUGUAGUUUGUUGUAUGGCAGGUGUAGUCUGUUGUGUGGCAGGUAUAGUGUGUUGUGUGCAGGUGUAGUGUGUUGUGUGGCAGGUGUAGUGUGUUGUGUGCAGGUGUAGUGUGUUGUGUACGGGUGUAGUCUGUUGUGUGGCAGGUGUAGUGUGUUGUGUACAGGUGUAGUCUGUUGUGUACAGGUGUAGUCUGUUGUGUACAGGUGUAGUGUGUUGUGUGCAGGUGUAGUGUGUUGUGUGCAGGUGUAGUCUGUAGUGUGCAGGUGUAGUGUGUUGUGUACAGGUGUAGUCUGUUGUGUGGCAGGUGUAGUCUGUUGUGUAGAGGUGUAGUGUGUUGUGUGCAGGUGUAGUGUGUUGUGUACAGGUGUAGUCUGUUGUGUGGCAGGUGUAGUCUGUUGUGUACAGGUGUAGUCUGUUGUGUGGCAGGUGUAGUGUGUUGUGUACAGGUGUAGUCUGUUGUGUACAGGUGUAGUCUGUUGUGUACAGGUGUAGUGUGUUGUGUGCAGGUGUAGUGUGUUGUGUGCAGGUGUAGUCUGUUGUGUGGCAGGUGUAGUCUGUUGUGUACAGGUGUAGUGUGUUGUGUGCAGGUGUAGUCUGUUGUGUACAGGUGUAGUGUGUUGUGUGCAGGUGUAGUGUGUUGUGUGCAGGUGUAGUGUGUUGUGUGCAGGUGUAGUCUGUUGUGUGGCAGGUGUAGUGUGUUGUGUGGCAGGUGUAGUGUGUUGUGUACAGGUGUAGUCUGUUGUGUACAGGUGUAGUCUGUUGUGUGGCAGGUGUAGUCUGUUGUGUACAAGUGUAGUGUGUUGUGUACAAGUGUAGUCUGUUGUGUGCAGGUGUAGCACCCUCCUGCUGCUUUUUAUCUUUGUUUCUGUUUUCAUUUGGCACGUUCACAUUCUUCUGACUGUGAACGUGCCAAAAAAG